AGCUUAUCAGCGCCGGUCUUAAAAACCGGAGAAGGGAAACCUUCCGUGGGUUCGAAUCCCAC
rnacentral:tRNA from 1 species